GAAGAAGAAGAAGAACAUUUUAUUGACUUAAACUACAUAGUUUCUCGUCAUAUACAUAUACACAAACAUAAUGUACUGUACAUAAAUCAUUAUAUAAAUAAAUAAUCAAGUUCAUAACUGCUAAAUAAUGAACAAGUCAAUUCUAGCAUUCGAGUGAGAGUGGUCCAUUCGGUCCAUUACAUAUAUACAUGAAGGUGUAAAAUUGCAGUGAAUAUAUCCGUAAUUGGGUCAGAAUACCUGUAAGCUAUUUCCGUAGUAAACAUUACCAUAUAAGGAAAACCGAAAGUAAACACUCAUUUGCCCAUUCAUAAACUUUAUCGACGUCAUUGUUAUUUACUAAUAUCAACCAAUCAUUACCGUCCCCAUGCCAAAUAUGGAGACCGGAAAUAAUAAACCGUCACGCCUUUUUGCGACCACGCUUCAUGACUGGAAAAAGAUUUUCGAUGUUUUUCAACAUAUUUGACCGCAUUACUGGAUAUAUAUUUGAGUAGAUAGUACAAUAACGCUGGUUUCGUUCUAUUCGGUUCUGUGCAUAUCUACCAGUUUCUAUGCGUAGCUUGUGGGAUGACAACCUUAAUCUGGACAGUGAAUUCCGAAGGGUGUUAGGCAACACAUUCAGCAUAUCAAAGUGUUUUUGAAGUUCUGAAGGUGUUCUACCUAAUAUAACCAUAUCAUCAGCAAAAAGCAUCAAAAUGAAGGUAAUGUCAUCUAUCGUAAGGCCACAAGUGUAAUCUUCUUGCAAAAAUAACUCUAAGUCUUCUAUAAAUAAUGAAAAUAAUAAAGGGGACAUAACUUCUCCCUGUUUUAAACCAACUGCACAUUCAAAAAACUCAGAAUAAGAGUUGCAACA